AAUAGAAUGCCUGAAAAAAGGAUUAUCUUGAUAGGAUAAAUAAUGUAUUAAUCAAUACUUCUAUUG
rnacentral:tRNA from 1 species